rnacentral:rRNA from 2 species
UUAAGCGACUAAGCGUACACGGUGGAUGCCCUGGCAGUCAGAGGCGAUGAAGGACGUGCUAAUCUGCGAAAAGCGCCGGCGAGGUGAUAUGAACCUUUGACCCGGCGAUGUCCGAAUGGGGAAACCCAGUGCAAUCCGUUGCACUAUCGUUAACUGAAUACAUAGGUUAACGAGGCGAACCGGGGGAACUGAAACAUCUAAGUACCCCGAGGAAAAGAAAUCAACCGAGAUUCCCCCAGUAGCGGCGAGCGAACGGGGAGCAGCCCGGAGUCUGAAUCAGCUUGUGUGUUAGUGGAACGGUCUGGAAAGUCCGACGGUACAGGGUGAUAGUCCCGUACACGAAAAUGCACAUGCUGUGAACUCGAAGAGUAGGGCGGGACACGUGGUAUCCUGUCUGAAUAUGGGGGGACCAUCCUCCAAGGCUAAAUACUCCUGACUGACCGAUAGUGAACCAGUACCGUGAGGGAAAGGCGAAAAGAACCCCGGCGAGGGGAGUGAAAAAGAACCUGAAACCGUGUACGUACAAGCAGUGGGAGCCUCUUUAUGGGGUGACUGCGUACCUUUUGUAUAAUGGGUCAGCGACUUAUAUUCUGUAGCAAGGUUAACCGUAUAGGGGAGCCGAAGGGAAACCGAGUCUUAACUGGGCGUUAAGUUGCAGGGUAUAGACCCGAAACCCGGUGAUCUAGCCAUGGGCAGGUUGAAGGUUGGGUAACACUAACUGGAGGACCGAACCGACUAAUGUUGAAAAAUUAGCGGAUGACCUGUGGCUGGGGGUGAAAGGCCAAUCAAACCGGGAGAUAGCUGGUUCUCCCCGAAAGCUAUUUAGGUAGCGCCUCGUGAACUCAUCUUCGGGGGUAGAGCACUGUUUCGGCUAGGGGGCCAUCCCGGCUUACCAACCCGAUGCAAACUACGAAUACCGAAGAAUGUUAUCACGGGAGACACACGGCGGGUGCUAACGUCCGUCGUGAAGAGGGAAACAACCCAGACCGCCAGCUAAGGUCCCAAAGUCAUGGUUAAGUGGGAAACGAUGUGGGAAGGCACAGACAGCCAGGAUGUUGGCUUAGAAGCAGCCAUCAUUUAAAGAAAGCGUAAUAGCUCACUGGUCGAGUCGGCCUGCGCGGAAGAUGUAACGGGGCUAAACCAUGCACCGAAGCUGCGGCAGCGACACUAUGUGUUGUUGGGUAGGGGAGCGUUCUGUAAGCCGUUGAAGGUGUGCUGUGAGGCAUGCUGGAGGUAUCAGAAGUGCGAAUGCUGACAUAAGUAACGAUAAAGCGGGUGAAAAGCCCGCUCGCCGGAAGACCAAGGGUUCCUGUCCAACGUUAAUCGGGGCAGGGUGAGUCGACCCCUAAGGCGAGGCCGAAAGGCGUAGUCGAUGGGAAACAGGUUAAUAUUCCUGUACUUGGUGUUACUGCGAAGGGGGGACGGAGAAGGCUAUGUCAGCCGGGCGACGGUUGUCCCGGUUUAAGCAUGUAGGCGGAGGUUCCAGGUAAAUCCGGUACCUUAUUAACGCUGAGGUGUGAUGACGAGGCACUACGGUGCUGAAGUGAUAAAUGCCCUGCUUCCAGGAAAAGCCUCUAAGCAUCAGGUAACACGAAAUCGUACCCCAAACCGACACAGGUGGUCAGGUAGAGAAUACCAAGGCGCUUGAGAGAACUCGGGUGAAGGAACUAGGCAAAAUGGUGCCGUAACUUCGGGAGAAGGCACGCUGAUAUGUAGGUGAAGCCCCUGCGGGCGGAGCUGAAAUCAGUCGAAGAUACCAGCUGGCUGCAACUGUUUAUUAAAAACACAGCACUGUGCAAACACGAAAGUGGACGUAUACGGUGUGACGCCUGCCCGGUGCCGGAAGGUUAAUUGAUGGGGUUAGCGGCAACGCGAAGCUCUUGAUCGAAGCCCCGGUAAACGGCGGCCGUAACUAUAACGGUCCUAAGGUAGCGAAAUUCCUUGUCGGGUAAGUUCCGACCUGCACGAAUGGCGUAAUGAUGGCCAGGCUGUCUCCACCCGAGACUCAGUGAAAUUGAACUCGCUGUGAAGAUGCAGUGUACCCGCGGCAAGACGGAAAGACCCCGUGAACCUUUACUAUAGCUUGACACUGAACACUGGUCCUUGAUGUGUAGGAUAGGUGGGAGGCUUUGAAGCGUGGACGCCAGUCUGCGUGGAGCCAACCUUGAAAUACCACCCUUUAAUGGCUGGUGUUCUAACGUAGACCCGUAAUCCGGGUUGCGGACAGUGUCUGGUGGGUAGUUUGACUGGGGCGGUCUCCUCCCAAAGAGUAACGGAGGAGCACGAAGGUUGGCUAAUCCUGGUCGGACAUCAGGAGGUUAGUGCAAUGGCAUAAGCCAGCUUGACUGCGAGCGUGACGGCGCGAGCAGGUGCGAAAGCAGGUCAUAGUGAUCCGGUGGUUCUGAAUGGAAGGGCCAUCGCUCAACGGAUAAAAGGUACUCCGGGGAUAACAGGCUGAUACCGCCCAAGAGUUCAUAUCGACGGCGGUGUUUGGCACCUCGAUGUCGGCUCAUCACAUCCUGGGGCUGAAGUAGGUCCCAAGGGUAUGGCUGUUCGCCAUUUAAAGUGGUACGCGAGCUGGGUUUAGAACGUCGUGAGACAGUUCGGUCCCUAUCUGCCGUGGGCGCUGGAGAAUUGAGGGGGGCUGCUCCUAGUACGAGAGGACCGGAGUGGACGCAUCACUGGUGUUCGGGUUGUCAUGCCAAUGGCACUGCCCGGUAGCUAAAUGCGGAAGAGAUAAGUGCUGAAAGCAUCUAAGCACGAAACUUGCCCCGAGAUGAGUUCUCCCUGAGACUUUAAGUCUCCUGAAGGAACGUUGAAGACGACGACGUUGAUAGGUCGGGUGUGUAAGCGCAGCGAUGCGUUGAGCUAACCGAUACUAAUGAACCGUGAGGCUUAACCUU